AAGAAAGUGCGUGCACCCUACCGAGCCUCUGGGGCUAUCCACGAUUACCUGUUGGCGUCCACUGGGCUGGGCAAAAAUCGUACUGCCUCGAUCGAUUUGUACUGCAGUUGUACUGCGAGAGCGCUCGAGCUGUUGUACUGCACGCGAGCGAGGAAAGAAAACCGCCAAACAUUUCCUCUGGAUGCCCUCCCUCCUCUCAAUUUCGCUCUCCCUGCCGACCCCUAAUUUCUCUCCCGUCCCAACCUGCCCGGCGGCGGCAAAAAGCUAACGGGACUAGCCACAGGGAGCGGGCAGCAGCGCCGCCACGACGAGGUCAAGAACCCCGGCGGCCGCAUCCCCACCGGCGGGAAAAGGGAUCCCCUUUUCUUCGCCCUGGCGGUCAUCCGGGAGAAGGACGACCUGUGCCUCAAGAUUUGCCGCCGCCGCGACAUGGAGGCCGGCCUGCUGAUGCUGCUCUCCUCCCGUGUCAGGGACGACGGGCUGCUGCUGCACGCCGGUGCAUAUCGGCGAUCGGGUACUCACGUCCGUUCCCCUCUUGCUAAUGGAAUGCUGUUGUUUUCUUAUUUCUCUUGCAAUGAUUGAUGAUAGAGCCAAAUGCAGCGGUGAGGGCAAGGAUAGGAGGCAGCGGGUUCAAGAGGGCGCCUUGGGGAUCUCUUGGCACAUAGUGAUACUCCACAUGGAACAUGUAACUAUACAUUUGUUCCUUGGAAGUGCAAGGAUCAUCAAAUCUCCUUAUUAAUGUGCUUCCAUACCUGGCAGACAUGGCUAACCAUUUUUAAUUAGUCGUUGCUUCACUCUGACAUUUUUUGUUUGGUUCCAUUUGUUUGUACAGUUGGUUCUUGUGGAGUUGGCCGAGCUCCAGGACAGGGUCAAGUUGCUCAAGUGCAAAUUGGAGACGACAGCGACGGCAACCACAAUGAGGCAAUGUCGAGGAUGCACCGAGUCUCAAGGGUGGCGGGGGCGGCUGACAGUGAAGAUAUUUGUUCAAGUUAAGUUUUCACGAAGAUACAAAACUAUUAGUACAAUGGUACUGUAUUGUUGCGUCAAUUUGUCAAAUUAUGAUGGCAGUGAGCAUUGUUGAGACAAAAACUAUAAUCUUUCGCAUUUUAGAUGAUUAUAUUGAAAAAUAAGUUAUGUUUAUUUGUUAUAACGAGGUACAUCCAGCCUGAUUUUGCAACACCCUACUUCUUUAGUACCACCCGCUUCAUCACUUUGUUGCAUCUGCUCAUCUUUUAACUAGGAAAUGUUUCACUAACUGACAAUAUUACUCACAAAAGUAACUUUGGUUCUUCUCUAGACGAGUCCACAAGUGCAUUAGAAGAUAAAAAUGAGGUCACAAUCCAUAUACCGUUGUUGUAUUUUAUUUAUUACCUGUUGCUUCCUACUGUGAACUAUUGAAAAAUGGCAAGUCAUUAGUUAUAACUUCAAUACCACUUUUGACCAUUGUGCCUCUGGCACAGAUUCAUCUAUAGAGUCUGAUCGAAGCAAUAGAGAGAAGCUAACAUAUAUAAGCGCUGGUCACUUGAAAACACGUCAUGAGUUUCACAACAAGGCUUUGAUUUUCAAUAAUGACUUGUACCCUUCCUCUUUUUCCAACUGAUAACAAUGGAAAUGCACUAUUUUUCCUAUGUUCUCUGUAGGCUUAGUCCUCUACGUGUGGAACUAUUCUGAUAAGCCCUUGCCAUGCCUGGUAAGUUCAUUUCAGUGGAGUUUGUUGUUUUUGUGGUCAUGCCGCUAAAUUUAUGCUCUUUAUUUUCAAUAUGCAUGUGUAUUACCUUUUUUCUCCUGUAGAAUAUACAUUGACCCCAUUUGGAAUGUAGGAAUCACAUUAGGAUUCCAGACAAAUUACUAUGUUUCAUGCAUGACUCUUGGCCAGUGAGCAUUGUUCUAUUUUGUGUGUCUUGGGCCAUGAGCAUAAACUUCGCAAAUCACUAUCUGAUUAGAAGCAGCAUGGCAUAGAUGGGUGCUAGGAGAUGAAGGUGAGAGAGAAUAGUAAGCACUUCAAAGAACCUUACUGUAAGCACAGAAGCAAAUCCAGCGCCCAGCCCUCGCACGCCACGUGAGCCUCUGAAGAUUAACCUUUCUAUAAGCACAAUUACGAAAGCACUUCAUCUGAUAUGCCAAAAUAAUGCACACUUAUUGUUAGCCCGAUCUUUAGCUUCUAUAAAUUAAAUUCAUAGUAACUUCCAAAAUUUUAUUGUCGUGAUUGUAUGUUCACAGAGAACCAUCGACAAAAUGGUUUACUGAUGGUGUUAGUAAACUGUUUUGAUUUCUUCAGAAUAUUGUUGUGCUUUAAAUUCUCUUUGUUCCUGAAUGAUAUCAUACUGAAGCCAAAAAUUUCUGAACUUUGUGAUCUGGGCCUAACAUGAUUUGACAUCCUCUGCGUUUUAGAUGAGCAGUAGCAUUAUACAUUUUAUUUUUCGCGAUAUGGAGUAAGUAGGAAACAAGUUAACAUUACUUUUGCUUAGGAGAUGGCCAACGAAAAUCAUAAGCAAAAAUAUAAAGUACUGUAGCGAUUGUUUCUACUUCCUUCUGAGCUUUGUAGUUGCGCUGCUCCAUUCCUAAUACAUAAAGAAGGCAAUAUCCAAAUCUAUCAAAAGUUUUACUACAAUUUGAGCUUGUUUUUUUUAUAAAGUAUUUAAUGGAACAUACGGGUAGUUCAUUCUUGGUCAAAAUAUCAUUUUCCCCCUUACCAAAUUAGCUCUUAGUGCCUUCUGUUUCUAUUGGUAAGUUGCUAGAAAUGUGCAAGAUGAUUUCUGUAAUUUGAUUCUCAGUCCCAUUCUUAUAGAAAUUGUAAGUCGUUUCAACUUCACAUCUUGAUGGUAAUAUUAUCUAGCAUAUUUUUGGCAUGGGUUAGCUGUGUUCUUACAUUCAAAUAAGGAACAGUGUUGAGCUGAAACCUGGAGGAAAUAAAGAAUCACAUUGAACCUCAUUGUCCUAGGUUAGCUGUAUUUGUGGUUGGUGCCAUUAUUUUCCAGUGUAUAUACUUAUUUUCCUGCUAAAAAUUGACAUUAAUUGUGGAUAUUAUCUUCUCUAUCUGUUGAUGUAAUUGGACUCUCUGUGUCUAUUUGUAUGCUCUGUUUGCUGAUAGGUUCUUUAUUUGACAACGUGUAUAUCUAGGAAAGUAUGUACCACUUGAUGUUUGAUAUCAUGUAGGGACUAUUUGAUUUAGUGGAAUUUCGAAUUAGUUUAUGUCGGUGUUUCUUGUAGUUUAGGUUACUGCUACCACCACCCAAUAAAGUUUUGUUUUGUCACUUGCGGAGUUGUUUAACGCUACCACCACCCAAUAUUCAUAAUGUGCUUGUUGGCUAUAAAGCUGUUAGUAGCACAUAUGUACUCUGUCCACUAGGAAAUUAACAAGUAAUCAUCUGCUCCAUGCCUUUUGUUCUUACAUUGAGUUGUAGAUUCAUGAUUGUUGCAGAGGCUGCCCACACUUCAGCCAUCGGCUGUUGGCAUGCCUGACAUCACAGCUCAAAACAUGCAGUGCAUGAAAGGUAUACUGAUGUUUGCUAAUAUUUUGUACAUGUUUAGUUUUUAUUUCCUUCUUGCACUUAACAUAUGUAUGUACAUUCAUGCACCGGAUCUUUCAUUGAAUUACAGACAAAUUUCGUUUGUCUGUCCAUACCAAGUCUAUGGAGAAACAAUUGAGCAGCUUCUCUCUUUGUGCUGGAUUACAGGAACUUCCCCUACGGUCUACGGAUGCAAUACAUCACCUUUGUUGUUUUUUCUUCUUUGAUACUUCAGGCCUAGCUGCUCAGCUCUGUUUGAUCUGUUUUCUGUGUGUGCGCCUUUUGUUAGUGUACCAACUUGAUGUGUGUUAAUUAGUUUAGGCAUCCUUUUAACCUUGUAUGUUAAGUAAAAUCAUGGAACCAUCGUUACCUGUAUCAGCCACUUGUGUUUCAAUCAAGAAAAAUGAAAUGUACACGCUGUUUUCUUCUGGUAA